rnacentral:rRNA from 1 species
ACGGAGAGAUUCAUCGUCAUUCCUCGGCGUACGGGCGUGUGCCUCGAUGUGAUCGACCUCGGUCGUGUCGCACGGGUCGCGUUCGUCGCGUCCGGGGAGGGCGUGCACUUCUCUCUUAGUAAUGCAUCGCGACCCGUUCGAUGUCGAUCUAAGCGCCGUGCGGGAGCCCAAUCGUCCCUCUCGGGGGGCGGCUGGACCGCUACGGAUGCCGACCGGCCGUCGGACGGUAUAAAUUAUGAAUCGCGCACGCGUCUUCGACGCGUCAGGCCCGACGCAAGGUUGCGACGUUAUCGAGGUCCUGCCGUUGUGCGGAUCUCGAUGCGUCGCGCCUGUCGUCGCAGCCGUGUUGUCUCUGACUGUGCGCGUCUCUGUCUGCGAUGAUUCAGUUUCGGGCACUCGCAGGACCCGUCUUGAAACACGGACCAAGGAGUCUAGCAUGUGUGCGAGUCAUUGAGAUAUUUAAACUGAAAGGCACAACGAAAGUGAAGGCGCGCGCUUGUCGCGUGCUUAGGGAGGAUGGAGCGUCGGUCUAGGUCGACCUCUCGCACUCCCGAGGCGUCUCGUUUCCAAUCCGUGAAUGUAGGCGCGCUCUGAGCGCAGAUGCU